GUUGGUGAGCCUGCUGGGUGAGCCCCUUGAUUUGGCUCUGUGCUUCCUGUAGCUGGCUGUCUCUGUCUGUCUUCCUCAUUUCCACUGCUGUGAUUUUUUUGGUGAAUCACUCCCAAUUCCGGCAUGGGCCUCCCAAAGGUCGGCCUUCCAGACUUCUCUCAGAUCGAUUAGGAGCCUCUUGAGGUCUCCUUUGGUAGAUGGAGUGGAG